UACGAAGGGGGCUAGCGUUGCUCGGAAUCACUGGGCGUAAAGGGUGCGUAGGCGGGUCUUUAAGUCAGGGGGUGAAAUCCUGGAGCUCAACUCCAGAACUGCCUUUGAUACUGAGGAUCUUGAGUUCGGGAGAGGUGAGUGGAACUGCGAGUGUAGAGGUGAAAUUCGUAGAUAUUCGCAAGAACACCAGUGGCGAAGGCGGCUCACUGGCCCAUAACUGACGCUGAGGCACGAAAGCGUGGGGAGCAAACAGG
rnacentral:rRNA from 1 species